rnacentral:lncRNA from 1 species
GGCUGAAUGCGCACGCGCGGCAAAAGCUGCGCGCGCAUUCAGCCGGUCACAUAGGAAAGCAUUCAUAAUGCUUUCCUAUGGACGCUUGCGUGCUCUCACUGUGAAAAUCACAGUGAGAAGCACGCAAGCGCCUCUAGUGGCUGUCAAUGAGACAGCCACUAGAGGAUUAGGGGGAAGGCUUAACCCAUUCAUAAACAUAGCAGUUUCUCUGAAACUGCUAUGUUUAUGAAAAAAUGGGUUAACCCUAGCUGGACC